rnacentral:misc_RNA from 1 species
UCCGAGUUGACCCCGGCAGUCUCCUAUGAGUUCCCGGCAUAACCCGCUGGCAACAUAGGACGAGGGUUGCGCUCGUUGCGGGACUUAACCCAACAUCUCACGAUACGAGCUGACGACAGCCAUGCACCACCUGUGCACUGGUCCCGAAGGAGGACCGUAUUUCUACGGCUUUCCAGUGCAUGUCAAGCCCUGGUAAGGUUCUUCGCGUUGCGUCGAAUUAAACCACAUGCUCCGCUGCUUGUGCGGGCCCCCGUCAAUUCCUUUGAGUUUUAACCUUGCGGCCGUACUCCCCAGGCGGGGUGCUUAAUGCGUUAGCUGCGCCACCGACCAGCAAGCUGGCCGACGGCUAGCACCCAUCGUUUACGGCGUGGACUAC